CGUUCUGUAAGCCUGCGAAGGUGUGCUGUGAGGCAUGCUGGAGGUAUCAGAAGUGCGAAUGCUGACAUAAGUAACGAUAAAGCGGGUGAAAAGCCCGCUCGCCGGAAGACCAAGGGUUCCUGUCCAACGUUAAUCGGGGCAGGGUGAGUCGACCCCUAAGGCGAGGCCGAAAGGCGUAGUCGAUGGGAAACAGGUUAAUAUUCCUGUACUUGGUGUUACUGCGAAGGGGGGACGGAGAAGGCUAUGUUGGCCGGGCGACGGUUGUCCCGGUUUAAGCGUGUAGGCUGGUUUUCCAGGCAAAUCCGGAAAAUCAAGGCUGAGGCGUGAUGACGAGGCACUACGGUGCUGAAGCAACAAAUGCCCUGCUUCCAGGAAAAGCCUCUAAGCAUCAGGUAACAUCAAAUCGUACCCCAAACCGACACAGGUGGUCAGGUAGAGAAUACCAAGGCGCUUGAGAGAACUCGGGUGAAGGAACUAGGCAAAAUGGUGCCGUAACU
rnacentral:rRNA from 1 species